UUAAGCGACUAAGCGUACACGGUGGAUGCCCUGGCAGUCAGAGGCGAUGAAGGACGUGCUAAUCUGCGAUAAGCGUCGGUAAGGUGAUAUGAACCGUUAUAACCGGCGAUUUCCGAAUGGGGAAACCCAGUGUGAUUCGUCACACUAUCAUUAACUGAAUCCAUAGGUUAAUGAGGCGAACCGGGGGAACUGAAACAUCUAAGUACCCCGAGGAAAAGAAAUCAACCGAGAUUCCCCCAGUAGCGGCGAGCGAACGGGGAGCAGCCCAGAGCCUGAAUCAGUGUGUGUGUUAGUGGAAGCGUCUGGAAAGACGCGCGAUACAGGGUGACAGCCCCGUACACAAAAAUGCACAUGCUGUGAGCUCGAUGAGUAGGGCGGGACACGUGGUAUCCUGUCUGAAUAUGGGGGGACCAUCCUCCAAGGCUAAAUACUCCUGACUGACCGAUAGUGAACCAGUACCGUGAGGGAAAGGCGAAAAGAACCCCGGCGAGGGGAGUGAAAAAGAACCUGAAACCGUGUACGUACAAGCAGUGGGAGCACAGAGCAAUCUGUGUGACUGCGUACCUUUUGUAUAAUGGGUCAGCGACUUAUAUUCUGUAGCAAGGUUAACCGAAUAGGGGAGCCGAAGGGAAACCGAGUCUUAACUGGGCGUUAAGUUGCAGGGUAUAGACCCGAAACCCGGUGAUCUAGCCAUGGGCAGGUUGAAGGUUGGGUAACACUAACUGGAGGACCGAACCGACUAAUGUUGAAAAAUUAGCGGAUGACUUGUGGCUGGGGGUGAAAGGCCAAUCAAACCGGGAGAUAGCUGGUUCUCCCCGAAAGCUAUUUAGGUAGCGCCUCGUGAAUUCAUCUCCGGGGGUAGAGCACUGUUUCGGCAAGGGGGUCAUCCCGACUUACCAACCCGAUGCAAACUGCGAAUACCGGAGAAUGUUAUCACGGGAGACACACGGCGGGUGCUAACGUCCGUCGUGAAGAGGGAAACAACCCAGACCGCCAGCUAAGGUCCCAAAGUCAUGGUUAAGUGGGAAACGAUGUGGGAAGGCCCAGACAGCCAGGAUGUUGGCUUAGAAGCAGCCAUCAUUUAAAGAAAGCGUAAUAGCUCACUGGUCGAGUCGGCCUGCGCGGAAGAUGUAACGGGGCUAAACCAUGCACCGAAGCUGCGGCAGCGACGCUUAUGCGUUGUUGGGUAGGGGAGCGUUCUGUAAGCCUGUGAAGGUGUACUGUGAGGUAUGCUGGAGGUAUCAGAAGUGCGAAUGCUGACAUAAGUAACGAUAAAGCGGGUGAAAAGCCCGCUCGCCGGAAGACCAAGGGUUCCUGUCCAACGUUAAUCGGGGCAGGGUGAGUCGACCCCUAAGGCGAGGCCGAAAGGCGUAGUCGAUGGGAAACAGGUUAAUAUUCCUGUACUUGGUGUUACUGCGAAGGGGGGACGGAGAAGGCUAUGUUGGCCGGGCGACGGUUGUCCCGGUUUAAGCGUGUAGGCUGGUUUUCCAGGCAAAUCCGGAAAAUCAAGGCUGAGGCGUGAUGACGAGGCACUACGGUGCUGAAGCAACAAAUGCCCUGCUUCCAGGAAAAGCCUCUAAGCAUCAGGUAACAUCAAAUCGUACCCCAAACCGACACAGGUGGUCAGGUAGAGAAUACCAAGGCGCUUGAGAGAACUCGGGUGAAGGAACUAGGCAAAAUGGUGCCGUAACUUCGGGAGAAGGCACGCUGAUAUGUAGGUGAAGUCCCUCGCGGAUGGAGCUGAAAUCAGUCGAAGAUACCAGCUGGCUGCAACUGUUUAUUAAAAACACAGCACUGUGCAAACACGAAAGUGGACGUAUACGGUGUGACGCCUGCCCGGUGCCGGAAGGUUAAUUGAUGGGGUUAGCGCAAGCGAAGCUCUUGAUCGAAGCCCCGGUAAACGGCGGCCGUAACUAUAACGGUCCUAAGGUAGCGAAAUUCCUUGUCGGGUAAGUUCCGACCUGCACGAAUGGCGUAAUGAUGGCCAGGCUGUCUCCACCCGAGACUCAGUGAAAUUGAACUCGCUGUGAAGAUGCAGUGUACCCGCGGCAAGACGGAAAGACCCCGUGAACCUUUACUAUAGCUUGACACUGAACAUUGAGCCUUGAUGUGUAGGAUAGGUGGGAGGCUUUGAAGUGUGGACGCCAGUCUGCAUGGAGCCGACCUUGAAAUACCACCCUUUAAUGUUUGAUGUUCUAACGUUGACCCGUAAUCCGGGUUGCGGACAGUGUCUGGUGGGUAGUUUGACUGGGGCGGUCUCCUCCUAAAGAGUAACGGAGGAGCACGAAGGUUGGCUAAUCCUGGUCGGACAUCAGGAGGUUAGUGCAAUGGCAUAAGCCAGCUUGACUGCGAGCGUGACGGCGCGAGCAGGUGCGAAAGCAGGUCAUAGUGAUCCGGUGGUUCUGAAUGGAAGGGCCAUCGCUCAACGGAUAAAAGGUACUCCGGGGAUAACAGGCUGAUACCGCCCAAGAGUUCAUAUCGACGGCGGUGUUUGGCACCUCGAUGUCGGCUCAUCACAUCCUGGGGCUGAAGUAGGUCCCAAGGGUAUGGCUGUUCGCCAUUUAAAGUGGUACGCGAGCUGGGUUUAGAACGUCGUGAGACAGUUCGGUCCCUAUCUGCCGUGGGCGCUGGAGAACUGAGGGGGGCUGCUCCUAGUACGAGAGGACCGGAGUGGACGCAUCACUGGUGUUCGGGUUGUCAUGCCAAUGGCACUGCCCGGUAGCUAAAUGCGGAAGAGAUAAGUGCUGAAAGCAUCUAAGCACGAAACUUGCCCCGAGAUGAGUUCUCCCUGACUCCUUGAGAGUCCUGAAGGAACGUUGAAGACGACGACGUUGAUAGGCCGGGUGUGUAAGCGCAGCGAUGCGUUGAGCUAACCGGUACUAAUGAACCGUGAGGCUUAACCU
rnacentral:rRNA from 1 species